AGUGAAUGUAAACAUGGCUGCUUUGGCGGGACAGGCAAAUUUAUUAAGAAGAUUCGACGCAAAUAUUCCGCUGUAAAUAGAUACAUAUUCCUGGAACCUUCUUUCCUUGUAUUUGUCGAAAAUUUGUCAAAUGGCUAAAACGUGAAGUAAAGCUGAUGAAGAACGACCAAGAAGGUAUCGCUGUGCAUGUGAGAACUGCCACUGACAAUGGAAUUUGCACUUAACAAUCGUUACGUGUUAUUGCAAUGUGUACGCGAUUCCUUGAAUGUAUUUUCAACUGAAUU